AAGUCGUAACAAGGUUUCCGUAGGUGAACCUGCGGAAGGAUCAUCAAUGAAUCUUAUACCCUCUAAACACGCUCUGUGCAAUUGUGACACUUGGUUGGUGGGGGGAAGGAGGAGAGCCUAGCUUUUGCUUUGCUUCUUGCCGCCCCCCCCAUCUUCCAACUUUCAUAAACCCGCUUUUUUAACCCUUUAUUCCCAUGACUGAAAAAACACAAAACGAAAACCAAAAGACAACUUUUAACAACGGAUCUCUUGGCUCUC
rnacentral:misc_RNA from 1 species